rnacentral:rRNA from 1 species
CCUACGGGAGGCAGCAGUGGGGAAUAUUGGGCAAUGGGCGCAAGCCUGACCCAGCAACGCCGCGUGAAGGAAGAAGGCUUUCGGGUUGUAAACUUCUUUUAUCAGGGACGAAGCAAGUGACGGUACCUGUUGAAUAAGCCACGGCUAACUACGUGCCAGCCGCCGCUGUAAUACGUAGGGGGCAAGCGUUAUCCGGAUUUACUGGGUGUAAAGGGCGUGGAGGCGGGAGGGCAAGUCAGAUGUGAAACCCAUGGGCUUAACCCAUAGACUGCAUUUGAAACUGUCAUUCUUGAGUGCUGGAGAGGCAAUCGGAAUUCCGGGUGUAGCGGUGAAAUGCGGAGAUAUAAGGAGGAACACCAGUGGCGAAGGCGGAUUGCUGGACAGUAACUGACGCUGAGGCGCGAAAGCGUGGGGAGCAAACAGGAUUAGAUACCCUAGUAGUC